CGCGCGCCCAGUCGGCGGACAGGCCUCGGUUCUCGUCCGGGGUGAACUCGGCGAGGGUUCCGCGCAGCACCUGCUCGAUGCGGGCGCGCUCGGCC
rnacentral:tRNA from 1 species